rnacentral:rRNA from 1 species
UAGGGAAUCUUCCACAAUGGACGCAAGUCUGAUGGAGCAACGCCGCGUGAGUGAAGAAGGUUUUCGGACCGUAAAGCUCUGUUGUUGGUGAAGAAGGAUAGAGGUAGUAACUGGCCUUUAUUUGACGGUAAUCAACCAGAAAGUCACGGCUAACUACGUGCCAGCAGCCGCGGUAAUCGUAGGUGGCAAGCGUUGUCCGGAUUUAUUGGGCGUAAAGCGAGCGCAGGCGGAAGAAUAAGUCUGAUGUGAAGCCCUCGGCUUAACCGAGGAAUUGCAUCGGAAACUGUUUUCUUGAGUGCAGAAGAGGAGAGUAGAACUCCAUGUGUAGCGGUGGAAUGCGUAGAUAUAUGGAAGAAUACCAGUGGCGAAGGCGGCUCUCUGGUCUGCAACUGACGCUGAGGCUCGAAAGCAUGGGUAGCGAACAGGAUUAGAUACCCUGGUAGUCCAUGCCGUAAACGAUGAGUGCUAAGUGUUGGGAGGCUUCCGCCUCUCAGUGCUGCAGCUAACGCAUUAAGCACUCCGCCUGGGGGAGUACGACCGCAAGGUUGAAAC